ensembl:misc_RNA Metazoa_SRP Metazoan signal recognition particle RNA
GCUGGGUGUGGUGGCGGGUGCCUGUAAUCCCAGCUACUUGGGAGGCUGAGGCAGGAGAAUCACUUGAACCCAGGAGGUCGAGGUUGCAGUGAGCCAAGAUGGCACCACUGUACUCUAGCCUGGGCCACAGAGUGAGACUCUGUCUUAA